rnacentral:rRNA from 1 species
UACGGAGGGGGCUAGCGUUGUUCGGAAUUACUGGGCGUAAAGCGCGCGUAGGCGGACCUGCAAGUCGGGGGUGAAAGCCCGAGGCUCAACCUCGGAACUGCCUUCGAUACUGCGGGUCUCGAGUCCGGGAGAGGUGAGUGGAAUUCCUAGUGUAGAGGUGAAAUUCGUAGAUAUUAGGAAGAACACCAGUGGCGAAGGCGGCUCACUGGCCCGGUACUGACGCCGUGAGGCGCGAAAGCGUGGGGAGCAAACAGGAUU